UACGAAGGGGGCUAGCGUUGCUCGGAAUCACUGGGCGUAAAGCGCACGUAGGCGGCUUUUUAAGUCAGAGGUGAAAUCCUGGGAGCUCAACUCCAGAACUGCCUUUUGAUACUGGAGAGCUUGAGUCCGGGAGAGGUGAGUGGAACUGCGAGUGUAGAGGUGAAAUUCGUAGAUAUUCGCAAGAACACCAGUGGCGAAGGCGGCUCACUGGCCCGGUACUGACGCUGAGGUGCGAAAGCGUGGGGAGCAAACAGGG
rnacentral:rRNA from 1 species